rnacentral:tRNA from 1 species
GAAGUGGCUCAAUUUGGCAGAGCAUUUGGUUUGGGACCAAGGGGUUGCAGGUUCAAAUCCUGUCUUCC